UACGUAGGUGGCAAGCGUUGUCCGGAAUUAUUGGGCGUAAAGCGCGCGCAGGCGGUUUCUUAAGUCUGAUGUGAAAGCCCACGGCUUAACCGUGGAAGGUCAUUGGAAACUGGGAGACUUGAGUGCAGAAGAGAAGAGCGGAAUUCCACGUGUAGCGGUGAAAUGCGUAGAGAUGUGGAAGAACACCAGUGGCGAAGGCGGCUCUUUGGUCUGUAACUGACGCUGAGGCGCGAAAGCGUGGGGAUCAAACAGG
rnacentral:rRNA from 1 species